UAGAAGGAAGCGAUGAGAGAGGACGCGAGGAGAUCAUGCAAUUGAGAGUUUUCCAUUGUGAGGGGUCGGUUUCUACAGUGCCGCCUCAGCCUGCCUGCCUCCAGGAAGUGGUCAGUCUUCGAAGUGGUUUUCGGUUUGGACUGUUUUUGUUCCUAAACAAAGUGGGAGUCAUUUGCCGUGGGCUGAUAAAGUAACUUAGGUUGAAGCGAUAUAUCGUUUUGUUGCCAUUCACGUCACCUAUAUUUGAGUAAAAAUAUUUAGGAAUCUAUAAGAGAUACCCGGAUAACGAGAAUAUUCUAGAAACACCAAGAGUACGGGGUUUCGAUUGCGGGAAGGGGUGAGCAGAGGCCCGCGGCGGUCAAGGAGCUUAGGGAGGGCUGAAGAAGUACGGACGCGCCGGCCAUUGUGCACAAAGACGGGGAGACGACACUCCAAAUUAUACAUGUUUUGACCUCUGAUUCUGUUCCGGGAGAUUUCUGACCUGUAUCAUCGCCAAGAUAGCUGGACCGGGUAGAAAGCGGCACACCCCAGAACCAGACCCCAGCAGCAGCGGCAGCAGUGACGCCGGGGACGGGCGGCCCGUGAGCGCCAAGCGCCUGAAGAUGGCCAGCAGCAGUGAGUCAGGUCGGCGUAAUGGGGGUCAGCGCAGCGCAGAUGACAGCACCAGCAAGAAGAAGCAGAAGGACAGGGCCAACCAGGAGAGCAGGGAGGCCAAGCGAGCAGCAGCAGCAGGGGCCAAUGCAGAGCACAAGAAAGAUGUGUUUGUGGACUGGAAGCAGAAUGCUAAUGAGGUGAUCGCGAGGCUGCGCUGUGGAGACGGGGUGCAGAGGGUGGAGGACGUCACCACUACCUUCACCGACACAGACUGUCAUGCCCGCUUCCCAGAUGGGCGCCAGUGGGACUGUCAUCUGCAUGGGGAGAUUGAGGGCUCCUGCAGCAAAGUACAGUACAAAGAGAAGAGUGGCUUCCUCCUGCUGGUCAUGCACAAGAAGAUCCCCUUCCACUCCUGGCCUUCCCUUAUGCAAAAUAAAAAGGAGAAGCAGCCUGUGAAAGUGGAGGCCAAGAACGGUAAAGACCAGAAACAGUCGCCUCUGGUAAAGCCUGAGAAGUCUGUCCCGGAGACGACAGACAUGGCUGAACUGUCCAGCCAGACGUCUGCUCCACCGGCACAGUGUGAACAGAGGCGUGGCAAAGCAGAGCGAGGUGUCAAACGCAUCAUGAACUACAAACCAGCCGACAGGCUAGAGUCUGUGGUGAAGGCUGGAGGAGAGGGGCAGACCAAGCCGGUCAGUGUCAGUAAAGGGGACCUGCCUCAGGAGCCCAGUGCCAAGCGCCCCGUCCAUCCCCCCAAGGUCUCCACGGACCCCACCUCAGAGAUGCCCAGGGAUACACACUCCAAGUCCACAGCCAAUGGGAAACCACACAGCCCCACUGGCCGGGACCUCCAGACAUCUACAGCUGGUGACAAUCGAGCUGAGCUGCUAGGCAAUGGCCAUGAGGGUACAACACCUGAGGUAGCCGUCAGCCACACGCAGCAGGAGUUGAAAGUUCAGACGGAGGACAAGAAGGCCCCAGAGUCUGAUUUCAAGGCUGGUGCAGAAGAGGUAAUCAUACCGGCAGCCACUGUGUCCAGUGCUGAGAUCAGCCCCAAGGCUGGAGCCUCCACCAACAGAACAGAGAGGCCAGGGGAGGCCGAGAGGACUGAUUCUGAGAUGCUAGUGAGACAUCCUCCGAAUGAGGCUGACCAGGCCACUGAGUCUCUAACACCAACCAAUCGGUCAGGAUCAGGGAAUCCUGUGACUGCAACAGACACCGAGCAGGCUGAGUCCUCCAGCAGCAGCAGCACUCAGGAGGAGAAGAGGGACCGGUCUAAGGAGGAACCUCUGGAGAUAAAGCAGGAGGAAGCAGUUCCAGAGCCAAUGGUGAACCUGAAGUUGUUGAAGAACGACUCGUACGAGAAAGGGACAGACCUGAUGGUGGUCAACGUGUACAUGAAGGGUAUCGUCAGAGAGACGGCCAGGGUGAUCUUCAGAGAACAGGACUUCACCCUACUCUUCCAGACCAGCGAUGCAAAUUUCUUGCGUCUUCAUGCGGACUGCGGAGCGAACACCGUCUUUAAGUGGCAAGUCAAACUCCGGAACCUCAUCCAGCCUGAGCAGUCCACGUAUGCCUUCACCCCAUCCCGUUUAGACAUCACCCUGAAGAAGAGGCACAGCCAACGCUGGGGGGGCCUGGAGGCCCCUGCUACACAAGGUGCAGUGGGUGGCGCCAAGGUUGCUGUGCCCUCCGCACCGUCCUCUCAGGCCAGUCAGCCAGGCAGCAGCAAGCACUCCCUCUCUGCCAAGGAGGAGCCACCCUGGGUGGGGGAGGGGAAACCCAAGCCCUCUCGGACAGUGGACGGAUGCCUGGACAGUGUGUCAUCCCGCACCGUCUCAGACCAUGUCCCCAUCAAACAGGAGCCUGCAGUCACGUCCAAGCCCACCUGUAUGGUCCAGCCCAUGACCCAUGCACCUCCUGCCGACAGCCAGCGCAGCGUUGAGGAGGAAGAGGAGGAGGAGGAGAAGGUGUGUCUGCCAGGCUUCACAGGCCUGGUCAACCUGGGCAACACAUGCUUUAUGAACAGUGUCAUCCAGUCUCUUUCCAACACCCGGGAACUCAGGGACUACUUUCACGACCGGGCGUUUGAGAAUGAGAUCAACUGUGAUAACCCGUUGGGGACGGGUGGUCGGCUGGCCAUUGGGUUCGCUGUGCUGCUCCGGGCUUUGUGGAAGGGUACCCACCAUGCCUUUCAGCCCUCUAAGUUAAAGGCGAUCGUGGCCAGUAAGGCCAGUCAGUUUACAGGCUAUGCCCAGCACGAUGCCCAGGAGUUCAUGGCCUUCCUCCUGGAUGGGCUCCACGAGGACCUGAACCGCAUCCAGAACAAGCCUUACACAGAGACCGUGGACUCAGACGGACGGCUGGACGAGGUGGGUGAAAUAAAGGUGGUGGCAGAUGAGGCGUGGCAGAGGCACAAGAUGAGAAACGACUCGUUCAUCGUAGACCUCUUCCAGGGCCAGUACAAAUCCAAGCUCGUCUGCCCAGUGUGCUCCAAGGUUUCCAUAACCUUUGACCCCUUCCUCUACCUUCCCGUGCCCUUGCCCCAGAAGCAGAAGGUCCUCACAGUGUUCUACUUCGCUAAAGAGCCUCACAAGAAACCCAUGAAGUUCCUGGUGAGUGUGAGUAAAGAGAACUCGAGCACAGCCGAGGUCCUGGAGUCCAUCUCUCGGAGUGUGAGGAUCAAGGCAGAGAACCUGAGAUUGGCUGAGGUAGUGAAGAGUCGCUUCCAUCGGAUCUUCCUCCCAUCCAACUCCCUGGACACGGUCUCCUCCUCAGACAUGCUCUUCUGCUUCGAAGUGCUGUCUAAGGAGCUGGCCAAGGAGAGGGUGGUGGUGCUCCGAGUCCAGCAGAGGCCUCAGGUCCCCAGUAUUCCCAUCUCGAAGUGUGCUGCCUGCCUGAAGCCGCCUCUCUCGGAUGAAGAGAAACUGAAGCGAUGCACGCGCUGCUACCGCGUGGGUUACUGCAACCAGGUUUGCCAGAAAAAACAUUGGUCGAGCCACAAGGUUCUGUGUGGGCCCAACAUAGAGAACGUGGGACUUCCCUUCCUGGUCAGCGUCCCUGAGUCCAGACUCACCUAUGCCCGGCUGUCCCAGCUGCUGGAAGGAUACUCAAGGUAUUCAGUGAACGUGUUCCAGCCCCCCUUCCAGUCUGGCAGGACGUCUCCAGAGGUCACCCAGUGCCUGGCUGACCUUCCCCCUCCAGCAGAGACCCCUGAAAGUGUGGGGCCAGGGGACAAGGCCAGGGGCGGUGGGGCAGGGGACUCGGAGCAGGAGGGCUCCUCUCUGGUUCCUGAGUCUCCACUAGAGACAGCCCAGGCCUCAGCACAUCCAGCCGGAGACCCAGACGCACUCUCCACCCACACCACAGACUCGGGUUUCAUUGAGGCCUCCUCUGACUCCCAGGGAGAGAAGGAGACCUCCUGUGAGAAGGCUGUCAGACCAGAAGGUAAAGCUGCUGUGACCGGCUACCAGCAACCAUCAGAGUCUGCGUCCAGCCACACCUCUCAGUUCUACAUCACCAUCCUCCACUCCAACAGCAAGGAGCAGACACUGGAGGAAAAGGAAGAGGCCGUUCUGGACCUCCCUGAGGACUCCAGCCUGGAGCUGGUGUGGAAGAACAACGAGCGUCUCAAGGAGUACGUCCUGGUUCGGUCCAAGGAGCUGGAAUUUGAAGAGGACCCUGGGUCGGUCAACGAGACAGCCAGGGCUGGACACUUCACCCUGGAGCAGUGCCUCAACCUCUUCACUAGGCCUGAGGUGCUGGCACCAGAGGAGGCAUGGUACUGUCCAAAGUGCCAGCAGCACAGAGAGGCUUCCAAGCAGCUGCUGCUAUGGCGUCUGCCCAACGUCCUCAUCAUCCAGCUCAAACGCUUCUCCUUCCGCAGUUUCAUCUGGAGGGACAAGAUCAACGACAUGGUCGACUUCCCCGUCAGGAACCUGGACCUCAGUAAGUUCUGUAUUGGUCAGAAGGACGACAUGCAGCAGCCGCCCAUCUAUGACCUCUAUGCAGUCAUCAAUCACUACGGGGGCAUGAUCGGAGGUCACUACACUGCCUACGCACGCCUGCCCAGCGCCCAGAACAGCCAGCGCAGUGAUGUUGGCUGGCGUCUUUUUGAUGACAGUACGGUGACGAUGGUGGAAGAGAGCCAGGUGGUGACACGCUAUGCCUACGUGCUGUUCUACCGCCGCCGCAACUCCCCUGUGGAACGACCACCUCGCUUACUGGGGGCCGAGUCCCCCACCUCUGCAGGAGCCAGCGCCAGCCAGGCAUCUCUGAUAUGGCAGGAACUGGAGCAGGAAGAGGAGGGUGUUGAAGAGGGCCCCCGGGGCCUGUUCCGUCCCAGGCUGGGGAGGAGAAGAGCAGCCAGGAGGGAGGAGGGGGUGGAGGGGCAGGUGUGGCGGCUGCUGCGCCAAAGGAUCCCGCAUUAUUCCGAUGACGACUGUGUCCUAUAUUUUGUCCUGGGUACCUUGGCUGCUCUACUAGCGUUGUUAGUGAACCUACUCUACAGAGCCAACUGGGGCUAAGCGGCCAGUAUCACACCCCACACAUACACGCUUAUAUGCUAAAGCAAUAAGGCACGAGAGGGUGCGGUAUAUGGCCAAUAUAUCACAGCUAAGGGAUGUUCUUAUGCACGACACAACGUGGAGUUCCUGGACCACAGCCCUUAGCCGUGGUAUAUUGCCCAUAUACCACAAACCACGAGGCACCUUAUUGCUGUUAUAAACUGGUUACUGAAGUAAUUAGAGCAGUAAGAAUACAUGUUUUGUCAUACCCGUGGUAUAUGGUCUGAUACACCACGGCUGUCAGCCAAUCAGCAUUCAGGGCUCGAGCCAACCAGUUUAUAAAUAGGCUUAUACACAAAAAAAAUGUAAAGUCUAAUGAAAUAUCCAUGCCAAUACGAAAACAUUUUGUUUUGUAGAUGGCCUAUAAAUCAAUAUGCUGCUGAACACAUUCAAAAUGUCAACUAAAUUAUAUCUGUUAAUCAAGUCCAAUAGCAUCUACUAGUAACUUGGCUCAGCAAGGCUUGGCCUUCUUAUUUACUGCAGUCCAUAAUGUAUGUCCCUAUAAGAUACGUUAAAUUCUGGUUCAAACCUACUUCAGCCUUUUAUGUGUCCAUGCCAAGUGUCUCUCUCUCAUGUAGGAUUUCAGUACAAAAAUCUGAAAUGCGUGUUUCGUAAUGGUUAGUCCUAUGUUUCUGCACAAGAGAUGCUGCAGAGAGGACUUGAACUAGGGUAUAUAGGGUUAAAGUCCUAUUGUGAUAGUUUUGAGUGGGUGAGGGAAUAAGCUAUUGUAAUCCUUUAGCUCCAUCCCAGGGUGGUAUGAUGGGCUCCGCCUUGCUUUGUGCAGUCAUGACUUUGUACUGUAACCUGAAGACAGCUAAAAUGUGUGUUUUGCUUUAAUGAAUACAGAGUGUUUUUAGACUCACUGUAAGCUAGUAUGUGCCUUUUGCUUGUUUGUCACAUUGCUGAUUUUAUUUUUGAUUUUAUGUUGUCAAUGGUAAGCUCUUAAUUCAGCAGUUAUAUUGCUUUCUGUCCACCAGGGUUAGGCUCAAUUCGAAUUGGAGGCUGUUAAUUCAGGAAGUGAUUUGAAUUUAAAAUUCAGAAAUGUUUUUCUUUUUUUUUUUCUCCGAAAUAGAUAACUUUUACUUUUCAGUUUAUUGAGAAGUCAUUGAAAAUGAAUGCAUUUUUUUUCUCUUCAGAUUAUUUGCAUUGUAGUUUUUGUUUACUUCCUUCCUGUUUACUUCCUGAAUUGACUGCCUUAUGUUCGAAUUGAGCCCAACCCUGCUGUUCAUACGUUUUCCUUAUCCCUGUCAGACUUCAUGAAAGCCACUUGUUUAAUCUUUUUAAAUGUGCUUCUUUUUUUUUUGGGGGGGGGGGGGGGGUGAAAUAGCUAGAUAUGUCAGAGCUUUACGACUGUUUCUGCAAAAGAAUAAGUGCGCUGAUGUACAGUAUGAAGCUGAAGCUUAGUAGUGACGUCAACUCAUUAGGUGGACACCAUCUGCUUUCUAUCAAUGAAAAUUGCUACACUUAAUGAUUAUCUGUGUCGCUGGAAUAUGGACUAACCUUCUGUAACCGUGUUGUAGUAAUCUGUUCAAGUCUCAGGGAUAUCACACUGCACUCUGUCACAUGCCUCUCCAGCAGUAGAUGGGCUUGGAGGCCAGGUAUAUUCACCAUCUGCUUUCAAUGCCCAGUAUGUCUCAGUGGUUUAUCCAGUGGUUUGCCUCAGUGAAAUGUCGACACAAGGAAAUGUGAAUUAUCUAGGCUCCCUACAGAUGGCAAAGAUUCCCUAUGGUUGUGGGUGUAAAGGUGAAAGUUACUGAUGUAAGGAAGUGUAUAUUUUAUAGCAUAAAUAUAUUUACUAGAUUGCUGUAUAGAAAUUGUACAAUUUUAAAUGUAAUCUUAAUAGUCGCUAUUAUUUAAAAAAAGAAAGUGGGACAUUUCCUAGCAAUAAUGUGUACAGGUCCUUCCAUCUUAAUGCUGCCCCAAUAAACCAACACUUGUACUACUUUUCAAAAAUAAAAUGUCAACCUUUA